GACCUGAUAGUGUAGUGGCGAGCACGUCUCACUUGACUAUCGCCUCAUUGGGGCGAUUACCGAGAAAGCUCCUGUUCGAUUCGGGAUCGGGUCU